rnacentral:rRNA from 1 species
CACAUGCAAGUCGAACGAAGCCUUCGGGCUUAGUGGCGGACGGGUUAGUAACGCGUGGGAACGUGCCUUUCACUACGGAAUAGUCCUGGGAAACUGGGGUUUAAUACCGUAUACGCCCUUCGGGGGAAAGAUUUAUCGGUGAAGGAUCGGCCCGCGUUAGAUUAGAUAGUUGGUGGGGUAAUGGCCUACCAAGUCUACGAUCUAUAGCUGGUUUUAGAGGAUGAUCAGCAACACUGGGACUGAGACACGGCCCAG